CCUGGCUCAGAUUGAACGCUGGCGGCAUGCUUUACACAUGCAAGUCGAACGAAGCCUUCGGGCUUAGUGGCGGACGGGUGAGUAACGCGUGGGAACGUGCCCUUUGGUUCGGAAUAGCCCCGGGAAACUGGGAGUAAUACCGGAUAAGCCCUACGGGGGAAAGAUUUAUCGCCAAAGGAUCGGCCCGCGUUGGAUUAGGUAGUUGGUGGGGUAAUGGCCUACCAAGCCGACGAUCCAUAGCUGGUUUGAGAGGAUGAUCCGCCACACUGGGACUGAGACACGGCCCAGACUCCUACGGGAGGCAGCAGUGGGGAAUUUUGGACAAUGGGGGCAACCCUGAUCCAGCCAUGCCGCGUGAGUGAAGAAGGCCUUCGGGUUGUAAAGCUCUUUCAGCCGGGAA
rnacentral:rRNA from 1 species